rnacentral:rRNA from 1 species
GACGAACGCUGGCGGCGUGCUUAACACAUGCAAGUCGAACGGAAAGGCCUCUUUCGGGGGGUACUCGAGUGGCGAACGGGUGAGUAACACGUGAGUAACCUGCCCUUGACUUUGGGAUAACUUCAGGAAACUGGGGCUAAUACCGGAUAGGAACUCCUGCUGCAUGGUGGGGGUUGGAAAGUUUCGGCGGUUGGGGAUGGACUCGCGGCUUAUCAGCUUGUUGGUGGGGUAGUGGCUUACCAAGGCUUUGACGGGUAGCCGGCCUGAGAGGGUGACCGGCCACAUUGGGACUGAGAUACGGCCCAGACUCCUACGGGAGGCAGCAGUGGGGAAUAUUGCACAAUGGGUGGAAGCCUGAUGCAGCAACGCCGUGUGCGGGAUGACGGCCUUCGAGUUGUAAACCGCUUUCGCUCAUGACGAAGCUUUGUGUGACGGUAGUGGGUAAAGAAGCACCGGCUAACUACGU